rnacentral:lncRNA from 1 species
CGAGUUCCGCGCGAUUGGAUUGGGGCAGGCACUGUGAUCCACUCAUCAGAGGUCUUAGGGUCCCGUGGGGAGACCCGUGUGGGCCCUUGCGGGUGUUGGGCAAGACUCUGCUGGCAAGGUAGCCCGGGGCUCGAGUCUCGAGUCGAGCGGAAGGGCGAGGAAUAAUUUUCAUGUGUCUUUCAGAGUAAUAAGGCUACUGAUACUGCUCAGUAUUGUACAUAUGGACAUGUGGACAUGGAUGCAAGAACAAUCCCUGGAACAUGAGCAGCAGGUCAGUGAGUACUUCCUGGAAGAACACUGAUUCAUCUGACUUCAGAGGCCUUCAGUUCUCAAGGAUCAUCAGGUCCAUCUGCCUAAAGUGAAACCUCCAUCCCUUCGGUGCUGAGAAGAUUGCCUACAUAUGUCAGUCAUCAAAGCUUUGGGUCCCGGACCAAGAUGGCGACCGCUGCUGCUGUGGCUUAGGUCGCCUCCCCAGCCGGGCGGGCACCUGUCCUCCGGUCCGGAAGGUGGCCGGCUGUCCCCGGCCCACACAGGGUGCUGCCUCAGCGCCUCUGUGCUUCUGCCUGUUCCAGAGGCUGUCAGGUUCUCUGGCGCACCCUCUCACCUGUUCAGACUAAUUUCCUAAGUUCGGCGGGUCCAGGACCAAGAUGGCGACCGCUGCUGCUGUGGCUUAGGCCGCCUCCCCAGCCGGGCCCAUCCUUCUUCUCCAGAACCCGCUUCCACCCAGCAGGCAGCUACAGGUGGCACCCAACGUGGGUCCUGAACAUGGAAGGAACAAUUGGGGGAAAACACUUUCUUGGUGGAGCUCCAAAGAUGGUAUCUGGCACGGAUGCUCCCACUAUGACAUUCUCCCUCAACGCACACUCAGGGAAACAGGACCAAGGAGCCAUGGAUUCAAGUUUCCAAAAGCAGAAAAUCAUUUUCGAGGGUACAUUGUGGUCUGGAGUGAUACAAUCAUAAAAACCAAAGUUCAAUCUCCAUAACUCACAUGAAAUUCAAGGUGCUGGUGUUACCAUUUCUUCUAGACUCCACCCCACAGUUACCUGACAACAGCCAGGUCACUGUUAGCCUGAGCUCAAACAGUAGGUGAAAGAAACCAAAUAAGAGAUUUCAGAGGCAUAAGUGCCUUCAUGAAUCAUUAAGUGUGGGAGGCAGAGACAUGACUCUGAGUGUUCAUGCCUGCCUCACGGGGGCCACGGUGGUGCUGCCACCAGAUAAUGAACCAUCAAGAAGAGAUGAAGUUUGGAAGGAGGAUUCUUAGAUCAGGAUUCAUGAUAGUGUCGUAAGUGAAUUGAAGGUACUCACUACGGGCUACACUAAUCUACCACCCGGAAAAUAUUUUUCUCCAGGGAUCGCACAGAGGUACUGAGAGUAAAUAAGAUGAUUUAAGAACUACGAAGAAGCAAGCAAUGACCUAACUGGAAGACCAUAAUCCCAAUGCUAGUUGGGUCACAGAAACUGAGUGGAAAGUGGAGAAAAGAAAAGGAAAUUCUAAGUUCGUGGAAAGAAGUGAAAGAAUGAUAAGGGUUGGGGUGAAGAUGGGGCAAUAUGUUAAAAAUACAUUGCAUGAAGUUCUGGAAGACUCAACAAACAUAUUUUGAAUAUGUUGAAUUACUCAGCGGUCAACGAGUCCUCACCUACUUCAGCUACUUGGAUGAUUAUUAGAAAUGUUGCUGUUUCAAUAUAUUAUCAAACAUGCUCCCGAACAGGAAUGAAUUAAUUUAUGCCUAAUAAACAUGCUAUUUUCACAAAGAAAUGCAAUUCACUUUGAGAAAUUAGUACAAAACUUACCAAACCAUUUUAAAUCCAAUUUGUCUUACAUUGAUAGAGUACACUUGAAUUUAUCUCUGCAACUAGAAUACCAGCUAUCAUUUUGUCUAAAAAAAAAAACCGAACCUACUUCAUUACCUUUUUGAAUGCCAUUUGUAAGUUGUGCAUCUAAAAGCUUUGCAGACUGUGUGUGUGAGUUAAAAUAAUUUUCAAGAAUGUCUUACCAGAAGUUGUCUUCACUACUUCAGUUGUAUUCCUCAAUCCAACAAAGGAAAAUUGAUACAGCCUCCAUGAUCUUGUGUCACCCACUUCAACAGAACUGCGCUUCCAUUGAUAAACAAUUUCUUCACGAGGAUAUCCAUCUACCAUGAGAUGGGAAAACUCAGCCAGAGGUAGCAACCACCUUCUUUGAAUAACUUGUAAAUACCAAGGGAGAACAAAACUGAAAGUCAUAUGAGCACACUGGACUGGCCUUGUGGAAUUUGCCUCCCAGGAAAUUAACAAAAUAUAUAUCAAAUCCUGCUGGAAAAGACUGAAAGUAAGAAAGUCAAAACUGCCUUUUAAAAAUCUCGCUUUUAGUUGCAUGUAAUGUAAACAAUGAAGGAUAUUCUAAAUGUUGUAUUUGUACUUUAUAUCACUUUUGUAAGAUACAAAAGUAUCUAGUACAAAGUGAAAAUUAGAUAUGUAAAAUUAGAUAUUAGAUAUUGUAAUGAAGUAAAUUACAUAUGAUCAAUUCUGUCUUUUAAAAUUAACUACGGUCAUGACUAUUUUGAUUUUAGGAGUCUCUCUGACUCUAUUGAAGAGAAAUUAUGUUGAUGAAAAUGCUUGUUUAAAAUCCAUCAUUAACAUUUCAUUCAUUCAAAAAUAUCUAACUGCUAAACCGGAAAUAAGGCAGAGAUGGAUAAUCUAAUAUCGAUAUUGAACAAAUAGGAAUUCAUGUAGAAAAGUGAGGCCUGUUUGCUUUAGAAUAUCUGUGGAAGUUUUAAUAUUUAAUUGGUGGUAGAGUUGUCAAAAUCCCUUUGAUAUGUUGAAAAUAUCUUCUCUGAUGAAAAUAAUAAGUCAGGCUUUUACAGUGUUGACAUAUCAUACAUUUUUACAAAUAUUAUACCAACAAAACAGAGUUAAUGUGAAAUAUACUUUGUUUAAGAAUGUGUUAUAUAACAUUCUUCUGAGUCCCAUGAUGAAGGAUAUUGGAGGUAUAGUAUCAACCAUGUAUACGUUCUAUUGAGUCCUGGCCUGGCCUUACAGUCCACCUCAAUAGUCAGUCUGGACACAUUGUCUAUUUUUUAAGAGUUGCCCAUUCUAUCAAUUCUUCUUGUAAAGAUUGUUUUAAUUGGGACAGUUUGAAGUACAAUAAAAAAUGAUGUCAAAAUCAAUAGCAAAGCUCAGUGCCACUAUGCAAUUUCUCAGAUUCACUGCAUUAAUUGACAAGGCAAUUAGAGUGACUACAGGUGGCAGGGCACAAUCUGGGGAGAAUAUUACUUACAACUGGAGAACUCCAGGGGGCAGGAGUGUUCAUCCAUUGGGAAGUUGUGUAAUUGCAACUGGCACUCAGCAUCAAUUGUUAGCCUAAUUAGAACAACAAUAAACAUACAGAGAAAAAAUGCUAACAUCAUUUUUACAGUGCACACUGACAUCCUUUCUAGAACAAUCUUACACUGUGAUUGAUAAAACAAAGUGAUCCUCUAUGAAUAAAAUUCAAGUUCUAGGCAAGAAUUAUUUCCGAGCAUAUUUUAUUUACAUAGCAGACAGAACCACCCAAUUCACCUCAACUCCAUUAAUUCAAAAUAUGUGGAUACUUGUUUUAUAUUUUAUCUUAUUUAUUUUUGCAAAUUAGCUGCACACAGGAGAUUUCUCAGUGAAUAUUUUUAACUUAUUUAAGAGAACAAACUGUUUUAGGAACUUAAGCUCGUUUAAUGUUUGCAUCAAAUGAAUGCUGACAGUUCUCUGAUCUUAUCAGCUAAUUAACACGAAGCCUUCUGUUGGCAAGAACUUGCUGUUUUUAAAUUGCCAUAGCUGGGUUUUAAAAUACCACUGCUGCACAAGGGACUGGUAUGCACUUUUACAACAGAGAUAGAUAGAUAGAUAGAUAGAUAGAUAGAUAGAUAGAUAGAUAGAUAGAUAGAUAGAUAGAUAGAUUGAAAGCAAGCUACAUUGAUAAAACAAAAUAGAGACUGCAACAUCAGCCACAUGCACAUAUAUGAACUAGUUUUCCUUUUAAUUUGCAUUUAUAAAUAAAAUAAUGGUUUGUGAUAGUUUUGCAUAUGUAUAUUGUUUGCUCUGCUCGUAUUAACUCAUUUCUCUGUUUAGUACUCUCUCCCCAUGUUUUUGGUCCCUUCUGUCUCUCCAAAUAAUAUCAUAUCUACCUUUAUUUCCUUUUAUUUUCUUUGUAAUGUUAUCUUUAUUGUAUAUAUGUGUGUGCAUAUGGAGAAUAAAAGUUAACAUUAAAUGAAAAAAAAAGAAAGCAAGCUACGUAGAUAGAUAAAAUUAUUUUCCUAUAUAAGAUGUUAUAGGAGAGGAUAUCUAAAAGUUAACAAGAGAUGCUAAAUGCACAUACAAUGAGACAAUGAGAAUGACUUCACCAUUGAGUCUCAGUUUAAACAAAGUUUAAAACCUCAAGAUGUGCAGUUUUAAGCCCUGGACUGUGACUCAAGAAGGGAGUUUAAAUCUGAAGGAUUAUAGAUGUUCUGACUACCUUUGGAAAGGCAUAGAAAAAAAAUAGAAUCAAACUGUAAUGGUGAUGAUUGGUGGCUUUCAGAAUGUUCAUGUUUGUCAGCUACAUUUCUUACAAGCUACAAUACCACUGCUUAAGUGAUAGAAAUGUUAUUUUACAAAAAUUAAAUUUAAAGGAUUUUCUAAUUAGCAUGACUUUUCAUUGAGGACAUGUUAGAUGUUUUGUGGUACAAGAGAGCAAUGAAUAAUCUUUAUGUGUAUUUUCAAUGGCCUAUGAAGCCUUGAUGAACUGAACUACUUCUGUACUAAAUGCUGUGAUGGCUCCGUUGCACUGAAAUGUAUUCAAGGUCACAGGGACCAGGAACACGGUUAUGAUUUGUACUUAGACUCUUCACUCUUCGUCACAGCAGGAGACUUUAAUCACUGUUUCUACGAUCAUUCUUCAAAGAAUAGUUUGGCUUUACUCCCAAAUGAGAUUUUAAUUAAAUCUGGUUUUUAUUAGAAUUAUCUCUCAAAAUAAAUUGAUAUUCUUCUUAUUAAGAUAAUACAGAUAGAUUGCAGAUAUAAGUAUAGAUUCAGAAGUAUUAAUAGCUCUACAAAUACAUGCACACAUAUAUUCAGACAUUUAUAGCUUAGAUAAGCAACUAAAUUAAAAAUCAUCUUUCUUUAUAAAUACAUACAUUGUUUCAAGUCUUAAGCAGAUCAUAAUUGACACUUAAAGGAGGGUUCUAUAAUUAAACACUGUUCCCCAAAUUAAUAAGAACUCAAAAUUGGCGACAACAUUAUAAUAUGAUAACAAGACUUGAGGUAGAGUGAAUGAUUGCAGAUUUCACAAGCCAAAUGAACUCUGAUUUAUCAUUCAGACUUUGAUUUUCACAUUUCUAAUUCUAGUCAUUACCUUAUCAGGAAUUUAAUAAAUUCCCACUGAAUCUAAAAUAGGCACAAUGACUUUCUUUUGCAAUUAUGGUAGAGAUUUCAAAUCAUUUGAAAGUAUUAUGCCUUAUAUGUUUAGUAUUAAGCAUUUACAAAGAAUAAAUAUAUUUUACUGGUACAUAUGAUAUGUUAACUUAGAUGUAUAUUGUUUAGAUAUUUCUAAAAUAUAAAUAAAUCUUACAAUAUACCAUGCCCCAACCUUAAGGUGUAGAGAACUCGACCAUCAUUCCAAAUUCUCAGCAUCCUGUUGGGAGUGGUGAUCCAGUGAGCAUCAGCCUUUUUGGAGUUCCUGAAGAAAGUGUCUGGAAUCCAGAUUUUCCCCACCAUAUUGCUAUUCAACCGGAGAACUUUAAUGGUACUGUUAAAUUUCAAACGUCUGUCAUACCAGGUUUGGGCAAAAAAAAUAUCAAUUGUAUAUUCCUGUUUUAAAAAGAACAGAAGAUUUAAAAUGUUUAUUUAUUUAUUUUUUUUAAUCUUGUGCUUACUGCCAGUAUGAGACAUCAUGGGAUAGUGCAUCAGCAGACAAUAGCUUUGCUGGUGAGGUCGCUACCUCAACUGUCUUUUACUCUAGUUUCAGACAUUUAUGAUUUCUGGCCAAAUCUCCAAACCCUGGUAACUACCUUCCUUCAUACACAUACAAAACAAGAAGGCAGACCAUUAUUUGCUAGGGAGAAGUAGAGGUGGGCGCUUCCUUAUCCACUGUAGGAUAUUUAGCAUGACCUCUGCCUCUAUGUCCCAAGUACCAAUGUUACCUAAAAGAAUAAUUGUUCCAGGUUCACUACUGUAGAGAAAAUCGAAGCCCUACGCAUCCAAUAUACUUAAAUAGAGUUGUAGGUUCAGCUGCCUUACAAUAAAAGAAAGGCUCUAAAGAUGCCCAAUGGUUACCCCUGUGAAAAUGUAUAAAAUGCUUUGCCCCUGACAAAUAGCAAAUUCAAAAGACAACAUACUAGAAGUUAUGACUGUUUAUUCCAUUUCUCUAGAUACAAUUAACAUAAUUAAAUUGCUCACUUUGCUUAGCUAUGCAAUACUUUUAUUUAUGAGUGGAUUAGAAUAAAGUUAUUUUAUUAAGACAUUGGUAGUGAUUCUUACGCUGAAUUAAUCUCUCUCAUGAAGCAUAUUCUUAAAUGUAAUAAUGACAGGUGAACAUAACAAUUCACUAUAAGAGCCUAUCAAAUAUAAGGUGGGUGACUUCAGACAAAGACAGGCAAGUACUGUGUGACAUUUAGACCUGCAGGGCUAGAAUUAGAAAACAGUGGGUCUGGUGAGGCUGCCACAUUCAUAGGCAAUCCCGAGGAAAUCCUUCUUUAUUAGUUGUGCUUUGUUACCCCUCUUUUUACAAAAGAAAAACUAACCCUAAUACAAGGGUCCACCUUCAAGGUCCCGGAUACUUGUCUUAGCAUUUUGACUUUGUCAUCAGUAUGAGAGUUUUUAAUGAAAAACAAAAUCUUGCUGACAUUUUGUGUGGUUUUUGUUGUUGCUUUUGUUUAUUUGUUGGUUUUAGUUUUUGUGAUUCUUCAGCACUUCAGAAAUCCUUCCUUUGGGUCAGUUUCUGACUGUGUGUUUUUCACUUGUCCACUCAUUUAAUAAACCACUGUACAUCUAUAAUC